GAUGAACGCUGGCGGCGUGCCUAAUACAUGCAAGUCGAGCGAACAGACGAGGAGCUUGCUCCUCUGACGUUAGCGGCGGACGGGUGAGUAACACGUGGAUAACCUACCUAUAAGACUGGGAUAACUUCGGGAAACCGGAGCUAAUACCGGAUAAUAUAUUGAACCGCAUGGGUCAAUAGUGAAAGACGGUUUUGCUGUCACUUAUAGAUGGAUCCGCGCCGCAUUAGCUAGUUGGUAAGGUAACGGCUUACCAAGGCAACGAUGCGUAGCCGACCUGAGAGGGUGAUCGGCCACACUGGAACUGAGACACGGUCCAGACCCCUACGGGAGGCAGCAGUAGGCAAUCUUCCGCACUGGGCGAAAGCUUGACGGAGCAACGCCGCGUGAGUGAUGAAGGUCUUCGGAUCGUAAAACUCUGUUAUUCGGGAAGAACAAAUGUGUAAGUAACUAUGCACGUCUUGACGGUACCUAAUCAGAAAGCCACGGCUAACUACGUG
rnacentral:rRNA from 1 species